GUCACAAGCCAUCGUUGUUAUCGCCGUCUUCAUCUUUCCCUGAUCCUCCUCAUCCAUCAUCACCACCUCGACAGCUAUGCAAGCCCUGCAAUCCCCAUCUCUCCGACCAUCCCCUCUAAAACCUUUCCACAGGAACUCUCACAAUGCCACAAAAUCCCCUACUAAAAAGCUCUCUUUUAUCGCUGCUUCAUCUACUAAUAACUCUACUAUUUCUGCUUCCAAGCGCGAGAAAGACCCGAAGAAAAGAGUCGUAAUUACGGGUAUGGGGUUAGUUUCUGUCUUUGGGAAUGAUGUGGAUGUUUACUACGACAAGUUGCUCGUUGGAGAGAGUGGGAUCGGACUCAUUGACAGGUUCGAUGCAUCGAAGUUUCCUACCAGGUUCGGUGGACAGAUCCGGGGGUUUACUUCAGAAGGGUAUAUUGAUGGGAAGAAUGAUAGAAGGCUUGAUGAUUGUUUGAGGUAUUGCAUUGUUGCGGGCAAGAAGUCGCUGGAACAUGCGGAUCUUGGAGGGGAUAAACUAUCUAAGAUUGAUAAAGAGCGUGCUGGUGUGCUUGUUGGAACAGGGAUGGGUGGUCUUACAGUUUUCUCAGAUGGUGUUCAGGCUCUAAUUGAAAGAGGAUACAGGAAAAUUACCCCAUUUUUUAUUCCUUAUGCUAUUACAAACAUGGGCUCGGCCUUGCUUGCCAUGGAAAUUGGUUUCAUGGGUCCGAACUAUUCAAUUUCAACUGCUUGUGCCACCUCCAAUUAUUGUUUCUAUGCUGCUGCCAAUCACAUUCGCCGUGGUGAGGCUGAUUUGAUGAUUGCUGGUGGAACUGAAGCUGCCAUCAUUCCCAUUGGAUUGGGAGGUUUUAUAGCAUGCAGGGCCUUAUCUCAGAGGAACGAUGAUCCACAAACUGCUUCAAGGCCAUGGGACAAAGGUCGAGAUGGCUUUGUUAUGGGUGAAGGUGCUGGAGUGUUGGUGAUGGAGAGCUUGGAACAUGCAAUGAAACGUGGUGCACCUAUUAUUGCUGAGUACUUGGGAGGUGCUGUUAACUGCGAUGCUUAUCACAUGACUGAUCCAAGAGCUGAUGGACUUGGGGUCUCUUCAUGCAUAGAGAGAAGUCUUGAA
rnacentral:misc_RNA from 1 species